GUGCUGGCUUCAGCAGCACGUAUACUAAAAUUGGAACGAUACAGAGAUUGGCAUGGUCCCUGUGCAAGGAUGAUGUGCAAAUUUGUGAAGUAUUCCAUAUUUUU